rnacentral:tRNA from 1 species
UACAGUGGUCAGUAUUUCGCAUUGUGGUUGCGACGACCUGGGUUCGAUUCCCAGAUUCUGC